UCUCACCAGAAACAAGGAAAACCCUCAACU
rnacentral:piRNA from 1 species